rnacentral:piRNA from 1 species
UGGUCUCGAUAGUUUUCCAUCAGUCC